CUGGUCUAAUCCUUAAACUGAAAGAUGAAAAAAGGGGCCACAUCAAGUGUGGUGCUACUGGUGGUCGAUAUAAUUGAUCUUUUUUAAAAAAGUUAGUGUACUCAGUGUAUAAGCUUCCAGCUCAGCAACGGUUAAAAAAAGUGAAAUGUUAGGAUCAUGCAAUAAUUUAAACCAUAUGUGUUGUGAUACAUUAAAUUACGCGAAUAGUCCCAAGAAAAUAAUACAUUUGUUUAUUCUGUAGUUUGUUCUAUAAUGAAGUUUCUCAUUAAAUAUGCAAUAUAACAUUACGGUUGUUAAGAAAAUUUUCCAGUUUGCGGUAGCUUUUCGUUAAACCGUAAAACGGAAAGUUUUCCCUAAAAUUGCAAUAUAUAAUAAGAAUAUGUUAACAUAUUUGAUAUGUUAGAUGCAGCUUUAGUUACAAUUUCAGAAAAAAAAUUAAAGCAAAAUGUCCACUAACAUUGGAAAGGCGUUUUGAAGAAUGAAAUAAUCAUGAAGAAUGAAACUGAAGAAAACGCGGAUGCACGAGAUUUCCACUGAAAAGCAUAAGUAUCAACACAUUUUUUUAUGUAAAUUAUAAAAAAAAGGAAAAAUACGGCAAGCGCAACCGUCAACUUCGAAGUUUGUGACGUACAGGAAUAUGAAGAUUGAACCAAAGAACAUGGCAGGAUACUUAUAAGUUAUACUGAAGCUCGAUGCACAGCAAGAACGCUACAUUGUUC